CCAUUUUUUUGCCCAAACUCCCAUUUUUUCGCCCCAAACUCCCGUUUUUCCCCCCAAACUCCCAUUUUUUCCCAAAAUCCCCAUUUUUCCCCCAAAUCCCGCACCUGGCAGGGCAGGUCGCUGUCGGGGCUCAGGGUGAGGCCGAUUUUCCCCCCAAACUCCCAUUUUUUUGCCCAAACUCUCAUUUUUUUGCCCCAAAUCCCCGUUUUUUCCCCCAAUCUCCCGUUUUUUCCCCAAAUCCCCGUUUUUCCCCCCAAAUCCCGCACCUGGCAGGGCAGGUCGCUGUCGGGGCUCAGGGUGAGGCCGAUUUCCAACCCCAAACUCCCAUUUUUUCCCCCCAAAUCCCCGUUUUUUCCCCAAAUCCCCGUUUUUCGCCCCAAUCUCCCAUUUUUUCCCCCAAAUCCCCGUUUUUUCCCCCAAACUCCCAUUUUUUCCCAAAAUCCCCGUUUUUUCCCCCAAAUCCCGCACCUGGCAGGGCAGGUCGCUGUCGGGGCUCAGGGUGAGGCCGAUUUCCAACCCCAAACUCCCAUUUCCCCCCCCAAUCUCCCAUUUUUUACCCCAAACUCCCAUUUUUUUGCCCCAAAUCCCCGUUUUUUCCCCCAAUCUCCCGUUUUUUCCCAAAAUCCCCAUUUUUCGCCCCAAAUGCCGCACCUGGCAGGGCAGGUCGCUGUCGGGGCUCAGGGUGAGGCCGAUUUCCCCCCAAACUCCCAUUUUUUCCCCCCAAACUCCCGUUUUUCCCCCCAAACUCCCAUUUUUUUGCCCAAACUCCCAUUUUUUGCCCCAAAUCCCCAUUUUUUCCCCCAAACUCCCAUUUUUUCCCCCAAACUCCCAUUUUUUCACCCCAAACUCCCAUUUUUUUGCCCCAAAUCCCCGUUUUUCCCCCAAACUCCCGUUUUUUCCCAAAAUCCCCAUUUUUCCCCCCAAAUCCCGCACCUGGCAGGGCAGGUCGCUGUCGGGGCUCAGGGUGACGCCGAUUUCCCCCCCAAUAUCCCAUUUUUUCACCCCAAACUCUCAUUUUUUCGCCCCAAAUCCCCGUUUUUUCCCCCAAUCUCCCAUUUUUUCCCAAAAUCCCCGUUUUUUCCCCCAAAUCCCGCACCUGGCAGGGCAGGUCGCUGUCGGGGCUCAGGGUGACGCCGAUUUCCAACCCCAAACUCCCAUUUUUUUGCCCAAACUCCCAUUUUUUUCCCCCAAUCUCCCAUUUUUCCCCCAAUCUCCCAUUUUUUCCCAAAAUCCCCGUUUUUCCCCCCAAAUCCCGCACCUGGCAGGGCAGGUCGCUGUCGGGGCUCAGGGUGACGCGGAUUUUGGGGCACUGGGGCCCGGGGUGGGGGCAGGGCCGCGGCUGCCCCGAGCCCGAGAGGAGCCACAGGCAGUGGGGGAGGGGCG
rnacentral:lncRNA from 1 species